UGCGACAGGCUUAACACAUGCAAGUCGAGGGGCAGCACAGGUAGCAAUACCGGGUGGCGACCGGCGCACGGGUGAGUAACGCGUAUGCAACUUGCCUAUCAGAGGGGGAUAACCCGGCGAAAGUCGGACUAAUACCGCAUGAAGCAGGGGCCCCGCAUGGGGAUAUUUGCUAAAGAUUCAUCGCUGAUAGAUAGGCAUGCGUUCCAUUAGGCAGUUGGCGGGGUAACGGCCCACCAAACCGACGAUGGAUAGGGGUUCUGAGAGGAAGGUCCCCCACAUUGGUACUGAGACACGGACCAAACUCCUACGGGAGGCAGCAGUGAGGAAUAUUGGUCAGUGGGCGCGAGCCUGAACCAGCCAAGUCGCGUGAGGGAUGAAGGUUCUAUGGAUCGUAAACCUCUUUUAUAAGGGAAUAAAGUGCGGGACGUGUCCCGUUUUGUAUGUACCUUAUGAAUAAGGAUCGGCUAACUCCGUGCCAGCAGCCGCGGUAAUACGGAGGAUCCGAGCGUUAUCCGGAUUUAUUGGGUUUAAAGGGUGCGUAGGCGGCCUUUUAAGUCAGCGGUGAAAGUCUGUGGCUCAACCAUAGAAUUGCCGUUGAAACUGGGGGGCUUGAGUAUGUUUGAGGCAGGCGGAAUGCGUGGUGUAGCGGUGAAAUGCAUAGAUAUCACGCAGAACCCCGAUUGCGAAGGCAGCCUGCCAAGCCAUUACUGACGCUGAUGCACGAAAGCGUGGGGAUCAAACAGGAUUAGAUACCCUGGUAGUCCACGCAGUAAACGAUGAUCACUAGCUGUUUGCGAUACACUGUAAGCGGCACAGCGAAAGCGUUAAGUGAUCCACCUGGGGAGUACGCCGGCAACGGUGAAACUCAAAGGAAUUGACGGGGGCCCGCACAAGCGGAGGAACAUGUGGUUUAAUUCGAUGAUACGCGAGGAACCUUACCCGGGUUUGAACGCAUUCGGACCGAGGUGGAAACACCUUUUCUAGCAAUAGCCGUUUGCGAGGUGCUGCAUGGUUGUCGUCAGCUCGUGCCGUGAGGUGUCGGCUUAAGUGCCAUAACGAGCGCAACCCUUGCCACUAGUUACUAACAGGUAAAGCUGAGGACUCUGGUGGGACUGCCAGCGUAAGCUGCGAGGAAGGCGGGGAUGACGUCAAAUCAGCACGGCCCUUACAUCCGGGGCGACACACGUGUUACAAUGGCGUGGACAAAGGGAAGCCACCUGGCGACAGGGAGCGAAUCCCCAAACCACGUCUCAGUUCGGAUCGGAGUCUGCAACCCGACUCCGUGAAGCUGGAUUCGCUAGUAAUCGCGCAUCAGCCAUGGCGCGGUGAAUACGUUCCCGGGCCUUGUACACACCGCCCGUCAAGCCAUGGGAGCCGGGGGUACCUGAAGUCCGUAACCGCGAGGAUCGGCCUAGGGUAAAACUGGUGACUGGG
rnacentral:rRNA from 1 species